UACGUAGGGGCCGAGCGUUGUCCGGAGUUAUUGGGCGUAAAGCGCGCGCAGGCGGCCUCGCGCGCCCGACGUGAAAGCCCCCGGCUUAACCGGGGAGGGUCGUUGGGGACGGCGGGGCUUGAGGGCGGGAGAGGGUGGUGGAAUUCCCGGUGGUAGUGGUGAAAUGCGUAGAGAUCGGGAGGAACACCCGUGGCGAAGGCGGCCACCUGGGCCGACCCUGACGCCUGAGGCGCGAAGGCGUGGGGAGCAAACGGG
rnacentral:rRNA from 1 species